AUUAAAUAAAAAAAACCUCACUGCUGA
rnacentral:piRNA from 1 species